rnacentral:misc_RNA from 1 species
GAUGAGAACGUAGCGAAAUGCGAUAAGUAAUGUGAAUUGCAGAAUUCAGUGAAUCAUCGAAUCUUUGAACGCACAUUGCGCCCCUUGGUAUUCCGAGGGGCAUGCCUGUUCGAGCGUCAUUAUAACCCCUCAAGCUCAGCUUGGUGUUGGGGCCUGCUGCACUGGCAGCCCUUAAAAUCAGUGGCGGCGCCAUCUGGCUCUAAGCGUAGUAAUUCUUCUCGCUAUGGAGUCCUGGUGGAUGCUUGCCAUCAACCCCCAAUUUUUCUAUGGUUGACCUCGGAUCAGGUAGGGAUACCCGCUGAACUUAAGCAUAUCAAUAAACGGAGGA